rnacentral:sRNA from 25 species
GUCAGUAACCCAGCCCUAAAGGGACUGAGCUUGCAAGAGAAAUCAAACAAGCUGUACUGACCAGACCACCCUGGCAUAGUCUAAGGGUAGCCGUUAUUUGAGUCACGACACCCCGGAAUGCGAAGCUAGUUCCCUGCUCUGUC